rnacentral:lncRNA from 1 species
GAUGUUUAACUGGGUGGUGAAGGUCGUGCCACAUCCUCCCGAUACACAAGAGGAUCUGAGGGAGGAAGCAAUCACUGCGAAUGGAAAAACAUCGAAUCGAGACAAGUUCAAUUCAGCCAAAACAGGCAGGGAGGAAGACCAGUCAUCUCAAACCUCAAAGGACAGUGUUCAGAGUGGUAUGUUGAACUGGAUCUCCAACGGUUUCGUAAGCGCACUGCCCCAACCUGCAGGGAGUCCUCUUCUUACGAGAGCCAACCCUGAUGCUAAAUCACUUCAGGAUGAAGGUUCUAUGGACAGGGCUGGAGUCAUUGGCUGGAUCUCACAAGGAAUUGGAAAGGUGGUCCCGCAGCCCGAUGAGAAAUACAUACAGGACCAGACUCUAGAAUCUGAAGUCACAGAGGUUUAUGAGACAAAGGAACUUCCAGACCAGGAGCCUUUGGCACAUAUACCAGUAGUAGAGCUGGUGUCAGAAGACGAGUCGGAGGUGGAACCAGCUGCUCAGUUCCCUCCUAAUGUAAUGACCUGGAUAAAGAGCGGCUUCCAGAACGCUAUACCACAACAUGUGACCAGACCCCCAAAUUCCAGUUCUUCCACCCCGAGGUCAUCACAGUGCUCAAACAAAGGUAUUUUUAGCUACAUUUAUAGCUAUAAAACAGCUAUAUUUUGAAAGAUUGUAAUUGUUUAGCUUCAUAUUUGCUUUGGUUCAGUUUAUUCACCUCCUCCAGAGUCGAUAACCAGCGUGACGGAGAUCGAGUCAAAAACAUCCCCCAGGUGAGUCACGGCAAAUUGGAUUCUCUCUUUUGAAGUAAGCAAUUGCUUACUGGAAAAUUGGCAUAGAUGUUCACUUCACGUCCCUCUUGUUUUCAGUAUGGUAGGCUGGAUUGUUCAGGGUCUUGGUCUUUCAAUGCCACAAGCGGUGCUUAAAAACAAAGAAGGAUGUCUGGUAAGUGAGGUGUAAAGCUUUGACAUUAUUAGCUCAGAUGUUUAAUAGAUGUUUCUCGAUACUGACUCCCUUUCUUUCCACCAGGAGGACGGGAAGAUUGUGCAAAAUGGUGAGUAAGAUGUUCCUCUUUCAACACAGUUUUUAAUGACGAACUGGGUUUGUUUCCUGGAAACUCAAGCUUGGUUUCAGUCGAAUAUGAAAACACAAAGAUCACUGCAUGGCUAACAUGACCCACUCUGUGAGACAUCAAAAUACAACUAGAAAAACCUCAGGGUGAGCGGUUCUGUUGCAGUGUAGGACAAACUCAUAACUCAGUCCAUCUUCUCCUUCUGUUACAGGGGAGAGGACACUGAGAACCCUGUAAACACAAGGAGAGAGAGCGCAACAGCAUUACACAGUCACAGAUAAAUGGACAGUGGAGACAGAAGAACAGUGACUUUGUAGCUUUCUUGAAUGAACAGGCAGCUAUGAAAAUCUACUGAAUGUAAUGCCUGACUUUCUCUGUACUGUAUAACAAAUAUAUUUUUAAUAACCUUUACGUUUAACUUACUGUAUAACUAGCCAAAAACACACACACAUAUACAUAAACAUAUAUAUAUAUUAACUUAAAGUUAGACUCUCAGUACUGUAUGAAUAGCUGGCGUCUCUCAGAUGGGUGUUUGUUGCUGCAGUGAUCUUUACAAACUGACAUUUAGUUUGGCUUGACUGUACUUGUCUUAAAACAUUUACGAUCCUCGUGAGAUGUAAUUAUCAUUCAUUUUGCUGCAAGUUUCCCUAAUACUGUAUGUGUUAAAAAUGUACUCAAAUGAAAAGAGUAGAAAAAACACAUUAUGUACUGCCUUGACAUAAUUGUGGCUGCUCUUCAGGCUGCUUUUAAGACAUGUACAUUACAAGUUUAGGGUCCUUAAGAAUUUUUUUUUAAGUGUUUUUUGAAGAAAUAGGUCAUGUUCGCCGAGGCUUGAUCAGAAAUAUAGAAAUAUUGUGAAAACUUGUUAUAGUUUAAAUAACUGAAUUCCCUUUUUUUAUAUUUUUUAAGAUGUUGUUAAUUAAUGUUACUUAAAGUUUCAGCAUCUUUAUUCCAGUCUUCAGUGUGACAUCAGAAAUCAUGUUGUUUUUCUGCUCAAGAAACAGUUAUAAUUAUCAGUUUUUAAAACUGCUUAAUGUUUUUGUGAAAACCAUGAUAAAUGUUUUUUUUUUCUGGAUUCUUUAAUGAAUAGAAGGUUCAAAAGAACAGCAUUUAUUUGAAAUAUAAAUGUUUUGUAACAUUAUCAAUGUUUUUCCUGUCACACUUGAUCAAUUUAAUGCAACCUUGCUUAAUAAAAGAAUUAAUUUCUUAAAAGUUUUACUGG